rnacentral:rRNA from 1 species
UCUUCGACCUGCGCUAUUGAUGAGCCUGUCGAUUAGCUAGUUGGUGGGGUAAAGGCCCACCAAGGCGACGAUCCGUAGCUGGUCUGAGAGGAUGAUCAGCCACACUGGGACUGAGACACGGCCCAGACUCCUACGGGAGGCAGCAGUGGGGNAUAUUGCGCAAUGGGGGAAACCCUGANGCAGCCAUGCCGCGUGUGCGAAGAAGGCCUUAGGGUUGUAAAGCACUUUCAAUGGGGAGAAAAGUCUUACGGUUAAUAACUGUGAGAGUUGAUGUUACCUAUAGAAGAA